AUGAACGCUGGCGGCGUGCCUAAUACAUGCCAGUCGAGCGAACAGACGAGGAGCUUGCUCCUCUGACGUUAGCGGCGGACGGGUGAGUAACACGUGGAUAACCUACCUAUAAGACUGGGAUAACUUCGGGAAACCGGAGCUAAUACCGGAUAAUAUAUUGAACCGCAUGGUUCAAUAGUGAAAGACGGUUUUGCUGUCACUUAUAGAUGGAUCCGCGCCGCAUUAGCUAGUUGGUAAGGUAACGGCUUACCAAGGCGACGAUGCGUAGCCGACCUGAGAGGGUGAUCGGCCACACUGGAACUGAGACACGGUCCAGACUCCUACGGGAGGCAGCAGUAGGGAAUCUUCCGCAAUGGGCGAAAGCCUGACGGAGCAACGCCGCGUGAGUGAUGAAGGUCCUCGGAUCGUAAAACUCUGUUAUUAGGGAAGAACAAAUGUGUAAGUAACUAUGCACGUCUUGACGGUACCUAAUCAGAAAGCCACGGCUAACUACGUG
rnacentral:rRNA from 1 species